rnacentral:misc_RNA from 1 species
AAGGACAACUCACUCAAUGUCGGCGGUCGCGUUCCAGGUCGCGUCCUCGUGACAGCCACACUCAACGACCAGUCAGUCAGUUGUGCUACUACCACCGCCGUUUCGGUGCUGCUGCAAGACAGUGCCAGCAGCCGUGCAGUUUUACAUUCCAAGUUCCCGUGCAAGUGGCACGGGAAACUAACAUCGCUGUCGUCGAUACAGGCGGUCGGCGACAGCGCAUCAGCGUCUGGUGAAACACGACUUCACGUCUUUGACAGGACCACGAACAUCAAGUUCUUGGUCGACUCUGGCUCCGUGGUCUCGCUGAUUCCUCGGAGAUACACACACAGGAAGCUCACUCCUGCUGAGCUACAGCUAUUCACCGCCAACUCGUCAGCCAUCCGCAUGUUUAGUCAGCAGCCGCUCACUUUCGACCUCGGACUUCGUCAUGCGUUCAAGUGGUCGUUCAUCAUUGCCGAUGUGAACUCGGCGAUCAUCAGAGCUGACCUUUUCUUACAUUAUGGCCUCGUCAUCGACCUCUCUCGACAACGCCUUGUGGAUUCACAGACCAGCCUUAUUAUUCAGGGGCAGGUACGUGAGACUGCCAUUUUUAGCGUCUCCGCAACCAGCCAGCACAAUCUUCCGGACUCACCGCACCGAGAGACAUAUGCCAGACUAUUGGAUUUUCACGCUGCAGUCUUUGCACCAAGGCCAACUCCUUUGGGGAUCCGCUUUGAUGGUAUUGCACAUCAUAUAGGAACCACAGGACUUCCAAUAUUUGAGCGUCCACGACGACUUGUAGGUGACAAGUUGGCCGCUGCCAAGGUGGACUUCGACCUUCUCUUGCAUCUCGGGUUCGUAUAGCCUUCACACAGUCAAUAGGCGAGUCCAAUCCACAUGGUGCAGAAGAACCAAGGUGGCUGACGCACGACAGAUGACUAUCGGCAUCUAAAUGCUCAGACUGUUCCAGAUCGAUAUCCGAUUCCCCGGAUAGAGGACAUCUUGCAGAUGCACGGGAAAAAGGUCUUUUCCACUAUAGACCUGAUCCGAGCCUAUCACCAGAUUCCUGUUAUGCCGGAGGAUGUUCCGAAGACCGAAGCUGUCACGAGGCCAUUCGGUCUUUUUGAAUUUUUGGGCAUGCCGCCUGGACUCCUCAACGCCACGCAAAUAUCCCAACGUCACGUUAACGGCCUGCUGCGCGGUAUCAGCUUUGCUGCAUGCUAAGUAGAUGACAUCAUCGUCUUUUCAGACAGUCAUGAAGAACAUCUCCGCCAUCUUGAUGCUAUUCUCAGAUUACUUCAGAAGAACAACUUCUCGGUUCAUCCGACCAAAUCUUUCUUUGGACAGGACUCUGUGCAUUACCUCGGCUGCACCGUUUUACAGGUCGGUGUCAAACCACUACUCGAUAAGACCUACCUCUCGCACUGACAAUCGACGCUGCUGACUCUGCCAUAGGUGCGUUACUCGAAUAAUAAAUAGAAGGACACUGGCGGCCACUUGGAUUUUUCUCUCGGAAGCUUCCUCCGAGCAGAAGUACUCCACGUACGAUCGAGAACUCCUCGCUAUCUUCACUGCCGUCAAGUUCUUCAAGCAUAUACUUGAGGGGAGAGCAUUCUGGGUGCAAAUAGACCACCGACCGCUGACUUACGUCUUCAGCAAGAAAGCAGAAAAGAGCUCGCCGCGCCAACUAAGACAAUUGGAUUACAUCUCGCAGUUCAACACGGACAUAGUCCACGUGAGAGGCGAAGACAACGUGGUUGCAAACGCUCUUCCUCGAAUCAGCGCAAUCGAGAUGCCAAGCACUCUUUCAGCUUCAAUCAUUGCAGAAGCUCAACAAGCAGAGCUUGAGAGCAUCCAGAGCUUGCGGACGUCGUGCAAUCCACUUCUCUCGAGCUGAACCAUCUUCGAAUUGAGGGAGAAGACAUCUGAUGCGAUGUCUCAAUAGACAUCAUGCGGCCAUAGUUACCGCAACCGCUUCGACGCAAGGCAUUCGACGCCAUCCAUGGUCCUGCUCAUCCGAGCGCUCGCUCCACGCUCAAGAGCCUCAGGAAGAAAUUUAUCUGGCCGAGCAUCAACAGUGACAUUCCUCACUGGGCACGCGAGUAUUUGCCGUGUCAGCAAUCUAAGGUCAACAGGCACAACAGACCACAGCCUGAACCCAAUCGAGGCAGCGGACAGCCGGUUCAACCGCAUUCACUUGGACCUGAUAAGGCUACCGCCGGUACAAGAUAACCGCUACUGCUUCACGAUCAUUGACCGUUUUUCUAGAUGGCCAGUCGCACUUCCGUUACCGAACAUCGAGGCAGAUACCAUAGUAACUGCUCUCUUCAACCACUGGAUAUGCCAGUUCGACACUUCGCUUACAAUCACGUCGGGGUCACGAAUUUGAAUACCCCCCCCCCUCCCCGCGGAUGGAGGUUUAUUUGGGAAUCUAAUCUCCACCCGCUGGCCGCCCUAAGGCCGGGAUUACGAUGAACUUAACGUAACGGGACGCGACGGGAUGUGAAGUAACACAAAACCUAAAACACAUUGUUUUAUAUGCGGCUAGUUACGAUCGACUUUACGUAACGUGGCGUGAAAUAUUGGAACUUAACGCGACGUGAAGCUUACCAAUGUCAAGUUUAGAUGUUGCAUUCUGUCAAGUCGGAUUGUUCAUGUGACACUUUCAGCCAAUCAACGUUCUCGACUUUUGCGAGCGUGUUUUACUUGAACUGAAAGAUGUCAUUUGGCAUUGUGUUGUGUAUUCGGGAACAUACAGACAAAAGUCGUACAGAAAAUGUCGAUCAACGACAUUUUAUUAAUAGAGUGUGUGCGAGCACAUCCCGAAAUAUAUAAUAAAGGACAUGCAGGAUUCAAGAAUAUCGGAAUAAAAGAAUCCGCAUGAAAAAUUGUGGCCGAAACAGUCAAUGCACCAGUAAAAGAUUGUACAGCCAGGUGGCAAACUCUUCGCGAGAGGUUCACAAAAGAGAAGCGCAUUCUUGAGCAGAAGAGUCUGGAGUAGCAGCCUCAACCCGUCCAGAAUGGCCAACAUAUAAUGCUAUGUCAUUUCUGACAUCUCAUAUUAGGAAAAGGAAAUCUGUGGACAAUUUCCUACCAACGUCGUCGGUACCUACAUCUUAACCAAGAUUAUCAUGCACAGAUGAAGAGAUGUCGCUUCUACCGUCAUUGGCCGAAUCCUCAGAUAAUGUCGAAAUAUUAGAGGAGCAGACUAUAGAUGAUGUUAGUGCUCCAGUUAAUGC